rnacentral:rRNA from 15 species
AGUAAUCCAACUUAGUACGAGAGGAACCGUUGGUUCGGAUAUUUGGUAAUGCGGUUGGCUGAACAGCCAAUGCUGCAAAGCUAUCAUCCGUAGGAUUAUGACUGAACGCCUCUAAGUCAGAAUCCAUGCUGGCAGGGUUGAUAACCCCCUUGACCACUGUUACCUGAGUAGCAAUAGUCU